UUCGGCUCUUCUGCUCUGGGGGAGGAGACUCAGAGAACCUGGCAGGAUCUGGAGUGCCUUCGGCAGCUCGGACCACCUUCAGGAGCAUCUGUGAGCAGGACAAACAGACGGGUAAUUAUUAAAGGUGCUGCUGCUGGACCCUCAGAAACAAAGCCCCCAGCUAUGCUGUUUCUGGAGACAACAGGAGCAGGUGGAGCACUCAGAAUGCAGCAGUGAUCAGGAUCACCAGAGACUGGAUGAGUAUCUGACUGGACACUGCAGCAGGUGGCAGGAGAGACCAGGUGAAGAAGAACUGAGGGUUUGACCUUCUGCUGAAUUCUGAAAGUCAGGCUGGGCCAUCGUUCUCCUGAUGCUGUAUCAGGAAUCUGUCGUGUUUAUGCAGACUGGCUUUAGGAGGAGGCUCUUCACCCACCACAGGAAAAUGCUAAACUAUGCCAUGGGCCAUGAAGAGCCCAGAGAGCAGAAGAGUGAAAGCAGGGAGGAGUCCAUCCUGGCCUUCCUAGGAAUUGCUGGAACCAUCCUCAACCUCCUGGUCAUCAUCUUCGUCUACAUCUACACCUCCAUUUGAACAAAAUCCAUUUCAUUGUAAGUGAUGCAGAUCAAUCUGGACUAUGGAACAGACAGACUACCCCCCACUGGGGGCUAUGGACAGUUCCUGGACAUCAGAACAACUCAACCUGUUAUUUUAGUGGGUUAUUUAUAUUUUAGUUAAUUGGAGACCACAUAGCCUGUUCUUACUGUUCAUAUUUUUGUUCUGACAUUCAUAUGGCCAAGCACAACAUCUCUGUAAACAUUUUGAAACUGCUUUUGGAUGAUUUUCUAAAUGAUCCUGUUUCUUAGCUUUUAGAGGUCAAAUUAAAGCUUAUAUUCUGAAAACA